rnacentral:rRNA from 1 species
CCUACGGGAGGCAGCAGUGGGGAAUUUUGGACAAUGGGGGCAACCCUGAUCCAGCCAUGCCGCGUGCGGGAAGAAGGCCUUCGGGUUGUAAACCGCUUUUGUCCGGAAAGAAAAGGCAUCCCCUAAUACGGGGUGUCCUUGACGGUACCGGAAGAAUAAGCACCGGCUAACUACGUGCCAGCAGCCGCGGUAAUACGUAGGGUGCGAGCGUUAAUCGGAAUUACUGGGCGUAAAGCGUGCGCAGGCGGUUCGCUAAGUCUGAUGUGAAAGCCCCGGGCUCAACCUGGGAACUGCAUUGGAAACUGGCGAGCUUGAGUGUGGCAGAGGGGGGUGGAAUUCCACGUGUAGCAGUGAAAUGCGUAGAGAUGUGGAGGAACACCGAUGGCGAAGGCAGCCCCCUGGGCUAACACUGACGCUCAGGCACGAAAGCGUGGGGAGCAAACAGGAUUAGAUACC